rnacentral:misc_RNA from 1 species
GAUGAAGAACGUAGCGAAAUGCGAUAAGUAAUGUGAAUUGCAGAAUUCAGUGAAUCAUCGAAUCUUUGAACGCACAUUGCGCCCGUCAGUAUUCUGGCGGGCAUGCCUGUUCGAGCGUCAUUACGCCCCUCAAGUCCCCUGUGGACUUGGUGUUGGGGAUCGGCGAGGCUGGUUUUCCAGCACAGCCGUCCCUUAAAUUAAUUGGCGGUCUCGCCGUGGCCCUCCUCUGCGCAGUAGUAAAACACUCGCAACAGGAGCCCGGCGCGGUCCACUGCCGUAAAACCCCCCAACUUUUUAUAGUUGACCUCGAAUCAGGUAGGACUACCCGCUGAACUUAAGCAUAUCAAAUAAGCGGAGGA